CCUACGGGAGGCAGCAGUGGGGAAUAUUGCACAAUGGGGGAAACCCUGAUGCAGCAACGCCGCGUGAAGGAAGAUGGUUUUCGGAUUGUAAACUUCUGUUCUUAGUGAAGAAUAAUGACGGUAGCUAAGGAGCAAGCCACGGCUAACUACGUGCCAGCAGCCGCGGUAAUACGUAGGGGGCAAGCGUUAUCCGGAUUUACUGGGUGUAAAGGGAGCGUAGACGGCUGUGCAAGUCUGAAGUGAAAGCCCGUGGCUCAACCGCGGAACUGCUUUGGAAACUGUAUAGCUUGAGUACUGGAGAGGCAGGCGGAAUUCCUAGUGUAGCGGUGAAAUGCGUAGAUAUUAGGAGGAACACCAGUGGCGAAGGCGGCCUGCUGGACAGAAACUGACGUUGAGGCUCGAAAGCGUGGGGAGCAAACAGGAUUAGAUACCCCUGUAGUC
rnacentral:rRNA from 1 species